rnacentral:rRNA from 1 species
UACGUAGGGUGCGAGCGUUAAUCGGAAUUACUGGGCGUAAAGCGUGCGCAGGCGGUUCGUUGUGUCGGCGGUGAAAGCCCCGGGCUCAACCUGGGAAUGGCCGUUGAAACUGGCGAACUGGAGUGUGGCAGAGGGGGGUGGAAUUCCGCGUGUAGCAGUGAAAUGCGUAGAGAUGCGGAGGAACACCGAUGGCGAAGGCGGGUCUCUGGGCAGUAACUGACGCUGAGGAGCGAAAGCGUGGGGAGCGAACAGG